rnacentral:rRNA from 1 species
CCUACGGGAGGCAGCAGUAGGGAAUUUUCGUCAAUGGGCGCAAGCCUGAACGAGCAAUGCCGCGUGAACGAGGAAGGUCUUCGGAUCGUAAAGUUCUGUUGAAGGGGGAAAAGAGCGGAGAGAGGAAAUGGUCUCCGAUUGAUAUUACCCUUCGAGGAAGUCACGGCUAACUCCGUGCCAGCAGCCGCGGUAAUACGUCGGUGGCGAGCGUUAUCCGGAUUGAUUGGGAGUAAAGGGUGCGUAGGCGGCCUGCUAAGUCUGGAGUGAAAGGUACCGGCUCAACCGGUACAGGCUCUGGAAACUGGCGGGCUAGAGAGCAGGAGAGGGCGGUGGAACUCCAUGUGUAGCGGUAAAAUGCGUAGAUAUAUGGAAGAACACCAGUGGCGAAGGCAGCCGCCUGGCCUGUUACUGACGCUGAGGCACGAAAGCGUGGGGAGCAAAUAGGAUUAGAUACCCCAGUAGUC